rnacentral:rRNA from 1 species
GAGCGGCGGACGGGUGAGUAACGCGUGGGUAACCUGCCUCAUACAGGGGGAUAACAGUUGGAAACGGCUGCUAAUACCGCAUAAGCGCACAGUACCGCAUGGUACGGUGUGAAAAACUCCGGUGGUAUGAGAUGGACCCGCGUCUGAUUAGGUAGUUGGUGGGGUAACGGCCUACCAAGCCGACGAUCAGUAGCCGACCUGAGAGGGUGACCGGCCACAUUGGGACUGAGACACGGCCCAAACUCCUACGGGAGGCAGCAGUGGGGAAUAUUGCACAAUGGGGGAAACCCCUGAUGCAGCGACGCCGCGUGAGCGAUGAAGUAUUUCGGUAUGUAAAGCUCUAUCAGCAGGGAAGAAAAUGACGGUACCUGACUAAGAAGCCCCGGCUAACUACGUGCCAGCAGCCGCGGUAAUACGUAGGGGGCAAGCGUUAUCCGGAUUUACUGGGUGUAAAGGGAGCGUAGACGGCAUGGCAAGCCAGAUGUGAAAGCCCGGGGCUCAACCCCGGGACUGCAUUUGGAACUGUCAGGCUAGAGUGUCGGAGAGGAAAGCGGAAUUCCUAGUGUAGCGGUGAAAUGCGUAGAUAUUAGGAGGACACCAGUGGCGAAG